rnacentral:rRNA from 1 species
GACGAACGCUGGCGGCGUGCUUAACACAUGCAAGUCGAACGGAAAGGCCCAGCUUGCUGGGUGCUCGAGUGGCGAACGGGUGAGUAACACGUGGGUGAUCUGCCCCUAACUUCGGGAUAAGCUUGGGAAACUGGGUCUAAUACCGGAUAGGACAAUCGUUUAGUGUCGGUUGUGGAAAGUUUUUUCGGUUAGGGAUGAGCCCGCGGCCUAUCAGCUUGUUGGUGGGGUAAUGGCCUACCAAGGCGUCGACGGGUAGCCGGCCUGAGAGGGUGGACGGCCACAUUGGGACUGAGAUACGGCCCAGACUCCUACGGGAGGCAGCAGUGGGGAAUAUUGCACAAUGGGCGCAAGCCUGAUGCAGUGACGCCGCGUGGGGGAUGACGGCCUUCGGGUUGUAAACCUCUUUCGACAGGGACGAAGCUUUGGUGACGGUACCUGUAUAAGAAGCACCGGCUAACUACGUGCCAGCCGCCGCCGUAAUAC